rnacentral:lncRNA from 1 species
AACACAAAACUCCACGCGGAACCUUCUUCCGGUCAUUCUUAUAUCGAUUGGCACCAUAAAAGUUAGAUUUCUCUUUAUUCUUACUAGCAAAAGUGCCCGUGCGUUGCAACGGGUAGUUAUCCGCUUUAACUUCUAAAUCAAUAUAUGCUCACUUAUAGUUUUCUCACUCACCAUCCUUGGUGUACUCAACUACUUAUAAACAUAGAUUUAUCAACGGCACGCUCAGAGAACAUAUUCACAUGGCAGCCUAGGCGUCUUAGAGCUAAGAAAGUAUUGUGUGCUAUCAUUUAGGUCUGUAGUCAAGAAACCUCCGUAAUUACACAAAAGCAGCUGAAGAUGAACACACCAACUAUGUGGAAUUUGUACAAAACAAAAGGAAAAGAAAAAAAUAAUGGACUGUUAAUUUAUUUGUCAACAACUAAGCAUCAGCUUUUGGAAAGUUGAAUUUGGAUAAACCCUCCACCUGCAACCAAAUACUCAAUCAAAAUCCUUAACAUUGGUCAGGCACUAUGAGAUUUUUUGCUUGUUUUGCAUUGAACUCUUGUUUAUUUGACAUGGUCAUCUCUUGGCGCUGUAGUGCCAGCAUUGCUCUCCCCAAAGCAAUGACACAUUAUGUCUAUGUUGAUAGCGG